rnacentral:snRNA from 1 species
CGUGCUUGGGCGAGAGUAGU